GGUUACUGCUAUCGGUGUUCGCCUAAGCCAUGCGAGUCAUAUGUUCUUCGGAACAUGGCGUACUGCUCAGUAACACGUGGAUAACCUGCCCUUGGGUCCGGCAUAACCCCGGGAAACUGGGGAUAAUUCCGGAUAACGCACAUAUGCUGGAAUGCUUUAUGCGUCAAAUGGAUUCGUCCGCCCAAGGAUGGGUCUGCGGCCUAUCAGGUAGUAGUGGGUGUAAUGUACCUACUAGCCUACGACGGGUACGGGUUGUGAGAGCAAGAGCCCGGAGAUGGAUUCUGAGACAUGAAUCCAGGCCCUACGGGGCGCAGCAGGCGCGAAAACUUUACAAUGCGGGAAACCGUGAUAAGGGGACACCGAGUGCCAGCAUCAUAUGCUGGCUGUCCGGGUGUGUAAAAUACACCUGUUAGCAAGGGCCGGGCAAGACCGGUGCCAGCCGCCGCGGUAACACCGGCGGCCCGAGUGGUGAUCGUGAUUAUUGAGUCUAAAGGGUCCGUAGCCGGUUUGGUCAGUCCUCCUGGAAAUCUGACAGCUUAACUGUUAGGCUUUCGGAGGAUACUGCCAGACUUGGAACCGGGAGAGGUAAGAGGUACUACAGGGGUAGGAGUGAAAUCUUGUAAUCCCUGUGGGACCACCUGUGGCGAAGGCGUCUUACCAGAACGGGUUCGACGGUGAGGGACGAAAGCUGGGGGCACGAACCGGAUUAGAUACCCGGGUAGUCCCAGCCGUAAACGAUGCUCGCUAGGUGUCAGGCAUGGCGCGACCGUGUCUGGUGCCGCAGGGAAGCCGUGAAGCGAGCCACCUGGGAAGUACGGCCGCAAGGCUGAAACUUAA
rnacentral:rRNA from 1 species